rnacentral:misc_RNA from 1 species
GAUGAAGAACGCAGCGAAAUGCGAUAAGUAGUGUGAAUUGCAGAAUUCAGUGAAUCAUCGAAUCUUUGAACGCACAUUGCGCCCCUUGGUAUUCCAUGGGGCAAGCCUGUUCGAGCGUCAUUUGUACCCUCAAGCUUUGCUUGGUGUUGGGCGUCUUGUCGUAUUACGACUCGCCUUAAAUACAUUGGCAGCCGGCACUUUGGCCUAGGAGCGCAGCACAUUUUGCGAUCGUAGCCCGUUGUACUGGCGUCCAUCAAGAACAUUUACCACGUUUGACCUCGGAUCAGGUAGGGAUACCCGCUGAACUUAAGCAUAUCAAUAAGCGGAGGA